rnacentral:rRNA from 1 species
UACGUAGGGUGCGAGCGUUUGUCCGGAAUUACUGGGCGUAAAGAGUUCGUAGGCGGUUUGUCGCGUCGUUCGUGAAAACUUGGGGCUUAACUCCAAGCGUGCGGGCGAUACGGGCAGACUUGAGUACUACAGGGGAGACUGGAAUUCCUGGUGUAGCGGUGAAAUGCGCAGAUAUCAGGAGGAACACCGGUGGCGAAGGCGGGUCUCUGGGUAGUAACUGACGCUGAGGAACGAAAGCGUGGGGUAGCGAACAGG